UACGGGGGGGGCAAGCGUUGUUCGGAAUUACUGGGCGUAAAGGGUUCGUAGGUGGCUUGCUAAGUCAGACGUGAAAUCCCUCAAGCUUAACUGGGGAACUGCGUCUGAUACUGGCGAGCUUGAGUGCAGGAGAGGAACGCGGAAUUCCAGGUGUAGCGGUGAAAUGCGUAGAUAUCAGGAGGAACACCGGUGGCGAAGGCGGCUCUCUGGACGGUGACUGACGCUGAGACGGCGAAAGCGUGGGGAGCGAACAGG
rnacentral:rRNA from 1 species